rnacentral:misc_RNA from 1 species
UUUCCGUAGGUGAACCUGCGGAAGGAUCAUUAUUGUAUAACCGAGGUGCGAGGGCUGUCGCUGACCCGAAAGGUCGUGCACGCCCGAGUGCCCUCACACAUCCAUCUCACCCCUAUGUGCACCACCGCGUGGGUCCCCCUUUGGCUUGUUCGGAGGGGGGCUUACGUUUUCACACAAACUUUGUAUGCAGUGUAGAAUGUAUUUUUUGUUUUCGCGAUCACGCAAUCAAUACAACUUUCAACAACGGAUCUCUUGGCUCUC